CAGCCGCCGCGGUAAUACGGAGGGAGCUAGCGUUGUUCGGAAUUACUGGGCGUAAAGCGCACGUAGGCGGUUUAUCAAGUCAGAGGUGAAAGCCCGGGGCUCAACCCCGGAACUGCCUUUGAAACUAGUAGACUUGAAUCUUGGAGAGGUCAGUGGAAUUCCGAGUGUAGAGGUGAAAUUCGUAGAUAUUCGGAAGAACACCAGUGGCGAAGGCGACUGACUGGACAAGUAUUGACGCUGAGGUGCGAAAGCGUGGGGAGCAAACAGGAUUAGAUACCCCUGUAGUCCCUGUCUCUUAUAC
rnacentral:rRNA from 1 species